GGUUGGCUGUGAAAACGCAGACAGGAUCAGGCGUUACCAAUCCGAUCCAUACCAUACUGUACUGGUCCAUACUGGACCGCUUGGUGGAAACGAGCCAAAAGUAUCAGAAGGUGAGCUUCCACCAGCCGGGAGACGGGUCGGCCAUGAUGGAUAGAGAGCUGAGGAGAGGGGAGAAAAGAGAGGCAUGAAUGACGGCGAGUAUCGACUUCAGGAGCGCUCUGUGUUUGACUUCCAACAGUGAAGGGAGGAGGAAGAGGAGGAGAAGGAGGAGGAGAGUCUGUUUUAAUGCUGGUGGUGCAGAGACAAAAAUCAAAUUAGAAUUACGCAUUUGAUUAUGUAUUUUAAUGCCUAUGUUUUCUAGUAGUUCUGCAAAUUUCCUCUCUGGGAAAAUAAAGAUAAAGUUGAAGCUGAACAUUUAAGAUACAAUCCUUAAAUCAUAGAGAGAAAUCCCUUCAGCGUUGCAGUUUUAUGCUUAUCAGAAGAAGCUAAAUUUCAUGAUUUUAAAAGAUUCUGCACAUCUAUUACAUAGGACAGGAGUAGAAGACGAGUGAGACGGUCCUCUCCCACAAAGGUACAAAACUCAUGGCAGAACAUGAGUCUGGUCCUGCUUGAGGUUUCUGCCUGUUCAAGAAAGUUUGUCUUUGCCACUGUAACCUGCUGU